rnacentral:rRNA from 1 species
UACGUAGGGACCAAGCGUUGUUCGGAUUUACUGGGCGUAAAGGGCGCGUAGGCGGCGUGUUAAGUCAGCUGUGAAAUCUCCGAGCUUAACUCGGAACGGUCAGCUGAUACUGAUGUGCUAGAGUGCAGAAGGGGCAAUCGGAAUUCUUGGUGUAGCGGUGAAAUGCGUAGAUAUCAAGAGGAACACCUGAGGUGAAGACGGGUUGCUGGGCUGACACUGACGCUGAGGCGCGAAAGCCAGGGGGAGCAAAACGGGG